UACGGAGGGGACUAGCGUUGUUCGGAAUUACUGGGCGUAAAGCGCGCGUAGGCGGAUUUGUAAGUCGGGGGUGAAAUCCCGGGGCUCAACCUCGGAACUGCCUUUGAUACUGCAAAUCUCGAGUCCGAUAGAGGUGGGUGGAAUUCCUAGUGUAGAGGUGAAAAUUCGUAGAUAUUAGGAAGAACACCGGUGGCGAAGGCGGCCCACUGGAUCGGUACUGACGCUGAGGUGCGAAAGCGUGGGGAGUCAAACAG
rnacentral:rRNA from 1 species